rnacentral:tRNA from 1 species
GUUCCGGAAGCUCAGAUGGCAGAGCACCGCCUCGACACGGCGGAGGCCCCUGGUUCGAUCCCAGGUCGGAACACCA